UGGCUCUGGCCAGAGCCUCUCCAAACCCUGGCUGACUGCACUGUGUGUGUUGUUGGCUUCCAGGGUCCAGUUCUUUCGGACUCAACCUUCAGGGACCACCAGGCCCACCUGGCCCCCAGGGACCCAAAGGUGACAAAGGUGAUCCAGGUGUUCCAGGGGCUCUUGGCAUUCCUAGUGGUCCUUCUGAAGGGGGAUCAUCAAGUACCAUGUACGUGUCAGGCCCGCCAGGGCCCCCUGGGCCCCCUGGGCCUCCGGGCUCUAUCAGCAGCUCUGGCCAGGAGAUUCAGCAGUACAUCUCUGAGUACAUGCAGAGUGACAGUAUUAGAUCUUACCUAUCCGGAGUUCAGGGUCCCCCAGGCCCACCUGGUCCCCCA
rnacentral:lncRNA from 1 species